CCCUAGCCCUGAUAGUAAUGGAAAUCCUUUUGUAAAAAAGUCUAUUUUUUUCUUGCUAUAAAAGAGCGACCAUAGAAGCUCCUUUUAUGGCUUAGAAAAGAAGACUUAUUUACAAAAGAUUGUAAUGAAUAGCAGGAAAUAGC
rnacentral:sRNA from 1 species